CAUGCAAGUCGAACGAACCAAUUCGCGAUUCUUCGGAUGAGCGAGGAGGUUAGUGGCAAACGGGUGAAUAACACGUUGGUGACCUGUCCCGAAGCGGGGAAUAACCCUUCGAAAGGAGGGCUAAUACCGCAUGUGCUUCGUGGGGUUAGAGGCCCACGAAGUAAAGCUUCGGCGCUUUGGGAGGGGCCUGCGGCCGAUUAGCUAGUUGGUGGGGUAAUGGCUCACCAAGGCGAUGAUCGGUAGCUGGUCUGAGAGGACGAUCAGCCACACUGGCACUGAGAUACGGGCCAGACUCCUACGGGAGGCAGCAGUGAGGAAUAUUGCGCAAUGGGCGAAAGCCUGACGCAGCGACGCCGCGUGGGUGAUGAAGGCCUUCGGGUCGUAAAGCCCUGUCAGGUGGGAAGAAACAUGUCGGUGCUAAUAUCACCGAUGUUUGACGG
rnacentral:rRNA from 1 species